UACGAAGGGGGCUAGCGUUGCUCGGAAUCACUGGGCGUAAAGGGUGCGUAGGCGGGUCUUUAAGUCAGAGGUGAAAUCCUGGAGCUCAACUCCAGAACUGCCUUUGAUACUGAGGAUCUUGAGUUCGGGAGAGGUGAGUGGAACUGCGAGUGUAGAGGUGAAAUGCGUAGAUAUCUGGAGGAACACCGGUGGCGAAGGCGGCAUCCUGGACCGGCAUUGACGCUGAGGCGCGAAAGCUAGGGGAGCAAACGGG
rnacentral:rRNA from 1 species